rnacentral:rRNA from 1 species
AUUGAACGCUGGCGGCAGGCCUAACACAUGCAAGUCGAACGAGUGGCGGACGGGUGAGUAAUGUCUGGGAAACUGCCUGAUGGAGGGGGAUAACUACUGGAAACGGUAGCUAAUACCGCAUACCAUCAGAUGUGCCCAGAUGGGAUUAGCUUGUUGGUGGGGUAACGGCUCACCAAGGCGACGAUCCCUAGCUGGUCGGAGAGGAUGACCAGCCCAACUGGAACUGAGACACGGUCCAGACUCUUAGUGGAGGCAGCAGGGGUGAAUAUUGCACAAUUGGAGCAAGCCUGAUGCAGCCAUGCCGAGUGUAUGAAGAAGGCCUUAGGGUUUUAAAGUACUUUCAGCGGGGAGGCGUGACCCGCAGAAGAAGCACCGGCUAACUCCGUGCCAGCAGCCGCGGUAAUUC